rnacentral:rRNA from 1 species
AGUCCAUGGCGAAGGCCAGUUCCUACCGUGCAGGCAAAUGUCAAAACGUGUUGUGUUGGGAGUGCGUGCGGCGAGAGAGCAGUGUUGAACUCUAAGGAGCAUAAAAAACCUUCUUCUCCGACACGCCCUCCUCCUCACGUGUGCGUGAUAUGUCCAAAGGAUACUCUUCUGGACGAAAGGGAUUCCGGUAAAUAUUCUGGAACUUGGCUUCGGAGAUGCUCGGUGCCCUCGGUCGGUUACGGCCGGCCUUGGGAGUCACACUGUGGCAUAAACCCCAGUAAUGGGAUCAAAGCCCGCAUCCGUCGGCGGUGGCCCAGGGAAGAGUUUUCUUUUCUGUUUAAGACAUCUUUAGCCCUGGAAGCAACUUGCUAGGAGAGAGGGCUGUGGUACAAGGUAUCACUG